rnacentral:pre_miRNA from 1 species
GUGUAUUCUCAGCUUUGAGAACUGAAUUCCAUGGGUUGUAAUUGAAUCUGCUGUCAGACCCAUGGAGCUCAGUUCUUCAGCUUGGAUAUUUCUG